rnacentral:rRNA from 1 species
GAUGAACGCUGGCGGCGUGCCUAAUACAUGCAAGUCGAGCGAAUGGACGAGAAGCUUGCUUCUCUGAUGUUAGCGGCGGACGGGUGAGUAACACGUGGAUAACCUACCUAUAAGACUGGGCUAACUUCGGGAAACCGGAGCUAAUACCGGAUAAUAUUUUGAACCGCAUGGUUCAAAAGUGAAAGACGGUCUUGCUGUCCCUUAUAGAUGGAUACCCGCUGCAUUAGCUAGUUGGUAAGGUAACGGCUUACCAAGGCAACGAUGCAUAGCCGACCUGAGAGGGUGAUCGCCCACACUGGAACUGAGACACGGUCCAGAAUCCUACGGGGGGCAGCAGUAGGGAAUCUUCCGCAAUGGGCGGAAGACUGACGGAGCAACGCCGCGUGAGUGAUGAAGGUCCUCGGAUCGUAAAACUCUGUUAUUAGGGAAGAACAUAUGUGUAAGUAACUGGGCACAUCUUGACGGUACCUAAUCAGAAAGCCACGGCUAACUACGUG